rnacentral:rRNA from 1 species
UGAUGGAGCAAUGCCGCGUGCAGGAUGAAGGCCCUCGGUUGUAAACUGCUUUUAUAAGAGAAGAUUAUGACGGUAACUUAUGAAUAAGGGACGGCUAACUACGUGCCAGCAGCCGCGGUCAUACGUAGGUCCCGAGCGUUAUCCGGAGUGACUGGGCGUAAAGAGUUGCGUAGGCGGUCAAGUUAGCGAGCGAUGAAAACUAUCGGCUCAACCGAUAGCUUGUUGUUCGAACUGCUUGACUCGAGAGUAUCAGAGGUCGCUGGAAUUCCUAGUGUAGCAGUGAAAUGCGUAGAUAUUAGGAAGAACACCGAUGGCGUAGGCAGGCGACUGGGAUAUUUCUGACGCUAAGGCACGAAAGCGUGGGUAGCGAACCGGAUUAGAUACCCGGGUAGUCCACGCCGUAAACGAUGGAUGCUAAUUGUUUGAGGUAUCGACCCCUCGAGUAAUAAAGCUAACACGUUAAGCAUCCCGCCUGUGGAGUACGGCCGCAAGGCUA